AACGGCCGUACCAUGCUGAAUAUACCGGUUCUCGUUAGAUCACCGAAGUUAAGCAUCAUUGGGCGCGGUCAGUACUUGGGUGGGUCAG